UCCUUCGCCUGGGCUGCUUCCCGCUUGGCCUUAUUCAUCACCUCGAUGUUGGCGAUGAGCUGGUGUCCAAUCUGUAAGAGCGGCCAGGGAGUCAAUAUAAAAGCUAAGGAAUAAACUAAGUAAAGAAGCGAGAAGAAAGAAAAAGUAAAUUGACCUACUUCGAGAAAGGACCCCAGAGAGUCCCAAACCCACUGCUCAGGAUCGGCGUGGACGAUCCUGUGGAUGACCU
rnacentral:lncRNA from 1 species